rnacentral:rRNA from 1 species
GGAGCUCGUAGGCGGCCUGUCCCAGGGCGGCGAAGCUUAAACGCGUUAGCUUCGAUAUAAGUCGGGUGUGAAAGCCCUCGGCUCAACCGAGGAACUGCACUCGAUACUGGCGGGCUAGARUCUGGUAGARGGAGGUGGAAUUCCCGGUGUAGCGGUGAAAUGCGCAGAUAUCGGGAGGAACACCGGUGGCGAAAGCGGCCUCCUGGGCCACGACUGACGCUGAGGAGCGAAAGCUGGGGGAGCGAACAGGAUUAGAUACCCUGGUAGUCCCAGCCGUAAACGAUGGGCACUAGGUGGGGGGGGUUACCAACUCCCUCCGUGCCGAAGCUAACGCAUUAAGUGCCCCGCCUGGGGAGUACGGCCGCAAGGUUAAAACUCAAAGGAAUUGACGGGGGCCCGCACAAGCGGCGGAGCAUGUGGCUUAAUUCGACGCAACGCGAAGAACCUUACCAGGGCUUGACAUGCACUCGAAAGCCGUCAUCUAUCUGCGUGAGGUCUUGCGAUCCCCCACUUUCUCCCGUAGGACGUAUGCGGUAUGUCGUGAGAUGUUGGGUUGAGUCCCGCAACGAGCGCAACCCUUGUCGCAUGUUGCCAGCGGGUAAUGCCGGGCACUCAUGCGAGACUGCCGGUGUCAAACCGGAGGAAGGUGGGGAUGACGUCAAGUCAUCAUGCCCCUUAUGCCCUGGGCUGCACACGUGCUACAAUGGCCGGUACAGAGGGCCGCGAUGCCGCGAGGCGGAGCGAAUCCCAAAAAGCCGGUNUAAGUUCGGAUUGGAGUUAGGCCUGCCGCCAGCGUCACUCUGAGCAUGAUCAAACUCUACGCGUUACCUUGUACGAUGAAUACGUUCCCGGGCCUUGUACACACCGCCCGUCACACCACGAAAGUCGGCAACACCCGAAGCCGGUGGGNUAACCCGCACUCUACGAGUGUACCCUUGGUAGAAAC